rnacentral:lncRNA from 1 species
GCCAGUGUGAUUAGCAAUGGAGGUUUUAGGUGCUCAUAUUUACAAAAGGAAGUCUCUAUAUUCUGUGUAGAAGAAACUCAAAAAGUUCUCUAAAUGAGUCUUUGACCCAGGCAGUCACCGCUCUCAAGGAACAAGUGUCCAUGAAGAAGCAGCCUGAGCUGUUAGGCAUCUGCCUUUGCUCAAGACAUCCUCUGCCUAACUCUCUGUGAUCAGCACUCUUCUCUGGUGAACACAUCAGCGCCAUCUGCCUUCUGUCUGCCUGGAGAGACUUGCCACAGUAGAGCUUCCUCAGCCUCACAUGAACCGCUGCAAAGGAUGUGCGCUCCUUUUGCUGAAGCCGUCAAAUAAAAAAGCUUUUUCAUGAAAAGCUAAAUAGAAUACAUGAAGAUUUUCACGACAGUAGGCUUCCGGAUUAAUGAAAUAUUCAUUUAAAUUGGACUUGGAGGAUAUGUCACUUCUUUUCUUUGAUUAAAAUAUUUAGAGCAUAACACAAAAUCACUGUGUCUUGAAAAAGCCAAACUUCAAGGAAAUUCAGCUGAUGGGGCAUCUUGUUUUCAGUGAGGUUGUUAAAGAUGAUUUUUCCAACCAGGGUCAGGUGCUUGGAACCGUUAGGUGAAUGCUAGGCAUGGUGGGAGUCCUCUUGUGUGCUUAAGAGUUUAAGAGAUCGAACCCAAUAGAUAGUAAGCUUCUUUCAAAGAGAAUGCUAAUUUUAAUGUUUUUAUGACUUAAAUAGAUUGUAAUAAGUUAUUACUUCCUAAUUUAGAUGUUGGUAUGACGACUGGGCAGACGCAUGUUCUUGUUCCACAUCAACAUUGUAUGACUGCAGAGUGUAGCCUGAGUGCUUAGGAAAGGGUACUUUUACGAUAUUGGAAGACUGGACAUCGUGACAUUAGGAGGAGGGAGGGGGUUACUGGGCUGUUCUAAAAUUAGCAAUGUGAAGAGCUGGUUCAAACUUAAUUGCCUAGGUGUGGAAGAAAUAUACUUGUAUUGUGCUUAAUAAUGUGAAUUAUCUGUAUCAUUAAAUAACAGGAAACCCGUUUGAGUUUCUUCUUCCUGUCCAAAUAAAUAAAUAAAUAAAUAAAUAAAUAUAAUUAACACAGUGAAAAA